GCUAGUAUGUAGUGGUGGGGGAUAGGGAGAGACUUUACAGGAGUUUUCAUUAAUCGAGGACAUCUGGUGAGAGUCCACGGUGAACGGUGAUCGCACGGCAGGUUCGUGAGUGUUGUGCUCCCCACGCUACUACGAGCCCGGUAGUAGCUGCUAUGAGCGUCGGUAGUAGCUGCUGUAGCUUGAAGUUAGCUACAUGCGCCCGUAGCAGCUGCUAUGAGCUCCGGUUGUAGCUGCAGUAGCUUGAAGUUAGCUACGGAUGUUUGUAGCAGCUGCUACGAGCUCCGGUUGUAGCUGCUGUAGCUUGAAGUUAGCUACGGAUGCUUGGAGCAGCUGCUAUGAGCUCUGGUUGUAGCUGCUGUAGCUUGAAGUUAGCUACGGAUGCUUGAAGCAGCUGCUACGAGCUCCGGUUGUAGCUGCUGUAGCUUGAAGUUAGCUACGGAUGCUUGUAGCAGCUGCUAUGAGCUCCGGUUGUAGCUGCUGUAGCUUGAAGUUAGCUACGGAUGCUUGUAGCAGCUGCUACAAGCGUCUGCCGUAGCGAACUUCCAGCCCAGUGCUGCCUUGGGAAAAAAUCAGCGGCCCAGAACGGGAGGAUACGCGAGCGGAGGGGGGGAAAGAGCAUGGAGAGCACAACACUCACGAACCUAACUUCCAGCUACAGCUGCUGCUACGGGCGCUCGUUCAAGAUACUGGAGGAUGUUGUUGUCAUAAUGCAAGCACAUCUGUUGACGGUGCUAGGCUACAUCACGUAGCAUGCCAAAGAUGCCCUCAUAUGGCACACAGCUUUCUAUGAAAACACUGCAAACUCACUACAAAAGGACAGGCACACAGAAAACUGUGCUGCACUGAUGUCGGUGUUGGGACCUCAGCUGUAAGAGGCCUCGCUUGGAGGAGGGAGAGGACAACCCAAGUUGUUCAAGUAUGGACUUCGGAGAGCCACAGGAUGCUACCUAUGAUCCUGAUGACUCGAUCACAGUCUUGACUGAGUCAGCAGAUGUGACAUUACGUGGCUAACCUGUUGGACCUCAUCUUUCACGAGGUUUUCAGGACCCCGGCCCCAUAUGUGAAUUGGUGCUGAAGAUCUCAAAACCUGAGGAUUUCGCUGCUAAGUAUGAGAAACCUGACAAGCAGGAAGUUAUAGCUAGCUAUGUUUCGAGUUUCAAUCAAGGGCAGGUCUGAACCCUGUAUAACUUCCCUGAGCAUCAGGGAACACUCUGCGUAUCUGGAGCACCGAGCAGGAGGGCAGGACCACCCUGAUUCUCCGGCCAAGAUGGCCUCAACACCAGCUAACAAAGCUUCUGUACGCCAAAUACCUGUAACGGCUAAGCAAAGUUCACAUUGUAUUUAGAGAAUAAAAGGUGACACACAAAUAUAAAGUGUCUCUUUGUUUACAGUAUGGCUACUGAUGGCACAAAUUGUAUUUUUGUAAUCAAUGUUUUUAUUAUACUUGGUAUUUUUUGUAUUUAUUUCCUCUGUCCCAGCCAGUACAUUUAAUAACUAUGAUUAAAAAGCUCUGUGGCAAUC